rnacentral:rRNA from 1 species
UACGUAGGGGGCGAGCGUUGUCCGGAGUUACUGGGCGUAAAGCGCACGCAGGCGGUCUGUUAAGUUUGGAGUGACAGUUGGUGGCUUAACUGCCAAAGUGCUUCGAAAACUGACAGACUUGAGGGCUUCAGAAGGGACACGGAAUUCCGGGUGGAGUGGUGAAAUGCGUAGAGAAUCCGGAGGAACACCAAAGGCGAAGGCAGUGUCCUGGGGAGUACCUGACGCUCAGGUGCGAAAGCCAGGGGAGCGAACGGG